ensembl:lncRNA
UUUAACACAGUGCCUGGGCUGAUCUGAUGCAGUCUGAGUGUGUGGCCCAUCUCUAGCAAGUCCUCAGCUCCUUAGGAAAUCUGAUCAGGGUCCCCAGGGAUGCUCAUUUGUUUUGGUUGCUGGGCUUCUGAUCACCGGGACUCACGGGUCCGGUGCCCCUGACAAUCCCCCCUUCUCCUGGUGGUCACUGCUGUCAUACAAGUUUCUAUCAUUCAGGCAGAGUCAGAGCGCCUUGUGGGCGGAGUCUCUCCCCUGAGAUCCCUCAGCUACCGGUGGCUGUACACCUGAGCCUGUAGGGAGUUUCAUUGCCUGGUGAUGGGCUUGCUCCUCCCUUCACUUUGUUCCCAGGGCAUCCGUUUGCAAAGCCUGACAAGGCUGUCAAUAGGUCAGGCAUCAAAUGGUUCUCAAAGCAAUUAUCCUGAAUAUUCCAUCCUCCGCCACAUACCUGCGCCUGCGUGGCUACUCACCAACAAAACUACCACGUGACUCUACCAGCCAGAGGGGCCUGUGGAUCCAGUGACCAACUGAUGAAAUCCAGGGAAGCAGCAUGGGGGAGGGUCUGGAACUCACUACAAGACCAAGAUUGCCUGAAACUCACUAUGCAGACCAGGCUGGACUGGAACUGGAGUUCACAAAGAUCAGCUUACCUCCGCCUCCCAGGUUCUAGGAUUAAAAAUGUGUGUGUGUGUGUGUGUGUGUGUGUGUGUGUGUGUGUGUGUGUGUGUGAUGUAUGCGGGUGCCUAUGGGGGGCCAGAAGAGUGCAAAGUCGACGUUGGGUCCCUUGGAACUACCGGUAGUUGUUAAAACAUCAGAUGUGGGUGCUGAGAAAUAAACUCGGGUCCUCUGGUAGAGCAGUCAAUGCUCUCAGCCACCAGUUAACUCUCCAGCCUUCUGUCCAACAGGCACUGUGUACUUUACUGUGAAGUUCAUAAGUCAACAUAAAAGACAACUCUCUAUUUCUUCAUGUGGAUUGGAAUUAUUUCCUCAAAUUCUCCUACUUCAGCCUGAAAGAUUCCUUUUAACGUUUACUUUAUAAGUAAAGAGUCCCGCUACUGGCUUGCUCUUCAUGGCUCCCUCAGUCUGCUUUCUUAUAGAACCCAGGACCACCAGUCUAGAGUAGCCUCAUCCACCGUGGGCUGGGUCCUCCCUCACGAAUCUCUAAUUAAGAACUUGCCCCCACAGGCUUGCCUACAGCCCGAUCUAUGGAGGCUUUUUCUCAAUAGAGGCUCUCUGCUCUCAGAUAAUUCUGUGUCAAGUCGACAUAAAAGCCAGCUAUCACAAAUACUAACAAGAAACGAUUUCCUUUUCUUUUCUAGAAUUAUUUAUUUUAUGUAUGAGUACACUGUCACUGCCUUCAGACGCACCAGAAGAGGGCCUCAGAUCCCAUCACAGAUGGUUGUGAGCCACCAUGUGGUUGCCGGGAAUUGAACUCAGGACCUCUGGAAGAGCAGCCAGUGCUCUUGACCUCUGAGCCAUCUCUCCAGCCCCUUUCUUUUCUUUUCAAGACAGACUUUCUCUGUGUAACAGCCUUGGCUGCCUGGAACUCUCUUGUAGACCAGGCUGGCCUCACACAGAUCCUCAUGCCUCUGCCUCCCAGGUGUUGGGAUCAAAGGCGUGCCCACCGAGGGCAGCUUGAAACUCUUCAUUUUCAUUAUACUAAAAGUAUGCACAACUUUUUUCAUUUUUGAAAGUUAAUUUUUGCUGCAUAUGGAAUUCUUGACUGCCUGUUAUUUUUUUCCCCCUCCAUAUUUUAAGAAGGUUACCUCAUGCCACUUUGCUGUCUGAUCGGAAACCAAUUGCUUACCUCAUUGAUGAAGGAGUUACUUCUACCUCGCUCCCUUAAGUUUCUCUGGGUUUGGUCUUCAUUGGGGUGAGAAGACGCAUUUGCUGGCUAUUGCCUUUGUUGCAACAGUCCUUGAAUUUAUCCUAUUUGGAGUUGAGCUUCUUGGAUAUGCGGUUAGUGUAUUCUAACAAACUCGAGGGUUUCUCUCCAUUGCCACUCCCAAUAACUUCCCUGCUACUGUCUUCUAUUUGGGGACCCUUACUCUGCUCAUGUUGUGUUUAAAGGUGCAUCGUGGUUUUGGAGACUCUGUUCAUCAAACCUUUGUCUGCUUGCUUGUAAAGUCUGUUUCUCCAAACAAGGUUUCUCUGUGUAACAGCCCUGGCUCUCCUGGAUCGGGAGUUGUGGACCCAGCUGGCCUUGAACUCACAGAGCCUCUGCCUCUGCCUCCUGAGUGCUGGGAUGAAAGGCAUUUGCCACCAUUCCCAGUGUAAUUUUUCUGUUUCUUAUACUGGAUAUUCCAGUGUCUUUCCUGCCAAGUCCACACUACGGGUUAACUCAAAAGGUGCAGCAGGGGUUUCCUCUAACCGAGGGCGCCAAAUCAAGCUAGAAAGGAGCCAAGUGGGAUUCGCUGGACAAACCCAAGCCUUUCUCAGAGGCACUUACACGGUUUGGUAACUUACCCUUGUACCAACAACACAAGGAGAAACAUUUCCUAUCAGGUGUGUCUCCAGCAAGGGAUGGGACGGGGUAGCAUUUAUAUGAAGGCUUCGGAACCUGACUAGGGACAGAGGUGGUCCUUUCAGUGUCCUGGCCAAUGGCUUGAAUAAUUGUCAGUGCCUGGAAAUGUUCAAGGUCCAGGCUUGGCCCCAAACCUGCUAAGAAAAGGCUACAGACACCCAUUUGCAGACAGCUCAAGGCACGGUGAUUUUUCAGUCAGGAAACAAGAGAGACGGAGGGUGUGGAACACGGACAAGGGAAAAGGCUUAUUUCACUUACACCCACACCAUAAUCCAUCAUCAAAGGAAGUCAGGGCAGGAGCUUAAGCAGGCCAAGAAUCUGGAGGCAGGAACUGACACAGAGGCCAUAGAGGAAUGCUGCUUGCUGACUUGCCCCUCAUGACUUGCUCAGCCUGCUUUCUUAUCUUUUGGGUUAUGAGCUUUUAAUGGCUGAGCCUGCUUUCUUGCAACAUCAGGAUCAUCAGCUAAUUGAUGACACCACCUACAGUGAGCUGGGCCCUCCCACAUCAAUCAUCAAUCAAGACAAUGCCCUACAGGCAUUGCCUACAAGCCAAUUCUAUGGAGGCAUUUUGCUCAGUUAGGACUUCUUCUUCCCAUAGGACCCUAGAUUAUGUCAAGUUGACAUAAAAACUAGCUAGCAUUCUGGGUGAUUGUGUAGUAAGAUCUUGUUCCGAAAAAAAGAAAAAGGGAAAACUAUGUGUUUUAUUAUUAUUUUUUAAUCUGUGUAUGUUUGCAAUGUGCACACAUGUGUGUAUGUGUGUUCCCAUGUAUGUGGGUGCAUAUGUGCAUGUGGGGGUCAUAUGGUGGAUAUCUUCCUCACUCUCUACCAUAUACAGCUUAUGUCUCUCACCAUAACUCUCUGAUAUGGCUAGUCUAUCUAGCCAGCUGGUUCUGGGGAUCCCCAUCUCUGCCUUCUAUGUCGCUAGGAUUGCAAAUGAGCUGAUGUACCUUCCUGGUGUUUAUAUGGGUUUUGGGGGGUCCCAACUAAUGUUGUUUUGCUUAUGCAGCAAGUUUUUUGCACAGUGAGCCAUCUCCCUACCAACCCCCUUAGUUUAUUUAACAUAAGACAGCGAUUUUAACAACGAGACCACAGUCACCCAGGGUUCCUUCGUCCCUGCCUGUCCUUGCUGCAGUUGAGCACAGCUCACCCAGCGAGUGCCCAGAAAAGAAGCAGAAACCCUUGGUGUCCUCCUCCCUGGGCCACAAGGUCAGGAGAUACUCAGCCUGCUUCCUUGCUAUCUUGCCAAGUGCUUUGCAUAACAUGGAUCCCCCUCCCUUUCUAACCACUGAAGGCUGGUGCCUGGCUGUGAGUCCUGAGGUUACAGUCACGUGGGGUUGGUUACGGCAGCACCACUUCUGGCACCAAUCUCCAUCACAUUGGGACAGACUUGGUUGUGCCACACUUGCCAAACACCCCUGUGCCAUAGUUUCAUUUCUGUUGCUAUUAUAGAACUCUUUCAAAACAAAACAAAACAAAAUCCAUCUUAGGGCCGGAGAGAUGGCUCAGUGGUUAGGAGCACUGACUGCUCUUCCAAAGGUCCUGAGUUCAAUUCCCAGCAACCACAUGGUGACUCACAACCAUCUGUAAUGGCAUCUGAUGGCCUCUUCUGGUGUGCCUGAAGACAGCUACAAUGUAUUCAUAUUAAAAAACCCACUAAAUAAAUAAAUAAAUAAAUAAAUAAAUAAAUAAAACAACAAAACCUUAGGGAGAAUAGGUUUAUUUUAGCUUACAGUUCAGGUUACAGCUCUUUACUGUGAAGCUCUCAAGAUGUGGAGAGCCUGAAGCAUGGAGUCCCAGUUUAUUUAUAAUAUAAUCGAAAGCAGAGAGAGGUCAGUUCACGAUCCCCUACCUAAGGAAUAGCACCGCUCACAGUGGGCUGGGUCUUCCAACACCAAUUACAAAUCUAGACAAUCUUCCACAGGCAUGCUCACAGGCCAACCAAGAUAGAGACCAUCCCUUCAUGAGAUCCCCGAGGAGCUCUAAGUUGUGGCAUGUCGACAGCACUAACCGUCAUACCCAGAGACUGAAGAGUUACGCCUUCUUCUCGCUCUGUUGCCUGCAGGGAUUGGCUGAGGCUCAGCUCUGCCAUCUUUACUCCAGGACCUAGCCAGCCAUCUAGAGCAGUGUGGCUCUUCCUGGCUGAUGGUGGGGUAGGAGAGCUUAGCCCGGCUCUGAGUACCAUUACCUCACUGGCUGUUACCAGCUACAGAGCCUAGUGGACCACAAGAGGACGGGGCAAUGCUUCCCUCUGCCCCGUGCCUGGGAAUACAGGGGCGUCGCUGCACAGGCCCAGUGACCACCCUACACCUCGUGCCACGGAAAGAGUUGUCUCAGCUAGGGCUUUAUUGCUGUGAACAGACACCGUGACUGAGGCAACGCUUGGAAAGGACAAAGUUCAUUGGGGUUGGCUUACGGUUUCAGAGGUUCAGUCCGUUAUCGUCAUGGUGAGAAGCAUGGCAGUGUGCAGGCAGACACGGUGCUGGAGGAGCCAGAGUUCUGUACCUCGAUCCAAAGGCAGAGGAGGAGACUGUGUCCCACACUGGGCGUAGCUUGAGCAUAGGAGACCUCAAAGUCCACCCCCACAGUGACGCACUUCCUCCAAGAAGACCAUAUCUUCUAAUAGUGCCACUCCCCAUGGGCCAUGAAUUCAAACACAUGAGUCUAUAGGAGCCAUAUCUAUUCAAACCCCACUAAGAGUCUUGACCUCAUGACGCGUACCCCAAGCAGGAAGAAUGAGACACGGUGUGGAGGAUGGUUCUGCUUUCGUAACAUGGUUCCACGUCGUUAAAUUCCACUGUAUUCUCUGCCGAGUGAAAAGUACUCUCCCCACCUCACAGGUUUGUUUGCUUGGGUGUCUUCACAGUCCUGGACAUUCACCCUCCGAAAGCUGACGCGGGCACCAGCCAAUGGGUACCGUCAAGCUCUCUUGCACUGAAAUGUUAGGGAAUGUGGGCACUUCCCAGUACAUGUCCUAGCAGAAUUUCCAUAAGGACAUUUUAUUUGUAUAUUCCCACAGAUCAAUAAAAUAAUUUUAUUAAGACCAUGUGGGAAAAACCUUCGGGUCUCUUCCAAACACAAUGAAUACACUGUUGCAAUAGCUUUGCAUAGCCAAAGGGUAAGAAAGAAGUGCAUGGCUGGGCAGGACAGGGGCUGGGGCGGGAAGCUCAGAGGUAGCACACUUACAGUUUUACAAUUCAUGUGCAAGCAUUUUUUUUUUAAUUUAGGCACAGGAAUUCUCUCAUCUGAGAUAUUCUCAACAGAUGACAUCAGAGGGCACAGGCUCUCAACCUGUGGUCCGUGACCUCUUUGGGGGUUGGACAACCCUUUCACAGAGGUCACCUAAGACCAUCGGAAAACGCAGGUAUUUGCGUCACAAGUCAUAACAGUAGCAAAAUCACAGUUACAAAGCAGUAAUGAGAUUCAUUAUGGUUGGGGGUCACCACGACAUUAAAGGGUCACAGCGUUAGGAGGGUUGAGGGCUGACGGCAUAGGGAGAUGUCAGAUCCUUAGGAGGUGGGGUCCUGACACUGAGGGUCAUGUGGGAGAGGGACACGGAGGAUCACGGCACCAACCAUGCGGGCUGCCUUCUCUCCCUAAUGUUUUCCUACAUCCUGUCCAGUCUUGCUGUGACACACAAAUCAGGCCUGCAGGUUCACCGGCAGAGGCUAUAGGGCACCCAUUGAUGCUGCCGGGGGCUUUGCUCAUCCUCUCUGACCAGUUCAUCACGCCCUCCCAUGUCCAAAGGGAGUAGAAUAAAACAAAAUGCACAACCUUUUCCUUUAUAUAUUAUAUAAAAUAAC